rfam:Oryza sativa Indica Group scaffold000570 genomic scaffold, whole genome shotgun sequence.
UCUCUGUCCCAAAAUAUUUUUCGCACCCAAUUUUAAUCGUCCGUCUUAUUUGAAAUAUUUUUAUAAUUAGUAUUUUUGUUGUUAUAAGAUAAUAAAAUACGAAUAGUACUUUACUCGUGACUCAUGUUUUUAAUUUUUUUUUAAAAAAUUUCAAAUAAGACGAGUAGUCAAAGUUGUGCAUGGAAAACCAUAACUGCACUUAUU